rnacentral:rRNA from 1 species
AAAACAAUCCUACGGGAGGCAGCAGUGGGGAAUAUUGGACAAUGGGCGAAAGCCUGAUCCAGCAAUGCCGCGUGUGUGAAGAAGGCCUUCGGGUUGUAAAGCACUUUAGGCUGGAAAGAAAAAGCUUUGGCUAAUAUCCAAAGCCUUGACGGUACCAGCAGAAUAAGCACCGGCUAACUCUGUGCCAGCAGCCGCGGUAAUACAGAGGGUGCAAGCGUUAAUCGGAUUUACUGGGCGUAAAGCGUGCGUAGGCGGCUAUUUAAGUCGGAUGUGAAAGCCCUGGGCUUAACCUGGGAACUGCAUUCGAUACUGGGUAGCUGGAGAUCGGUAGAGGGCGGCG